rnacentral:sRNA from 1 species
AGGCCUAAGAAAUAAAGUAGAACGGUAACAGGAAGAAGCUUGCUUCUUUGCUGUACCGUGGCGGACGGGUGAAUAAUGUCUGGGAAACUGCCUGAUGGAGGGGGAUAACUACUGGAAACGGUAGCUAAUACCGCAUAACGUCGCAAGACCAAAGAGGGGGACCUUCGGGCCUCUUGCCAUCGGAUGUGCCCAGAUGGGAUUAGCUAGUAGGUGGGGUAACGGCUCACCUAGGCGACGAUCCCUAGCUGGUCUGAGAGGAUGACCAGCCACACUGGAACUGAGACACGGUCCAGACUCCUACGGGAGGCAGCAGUGGG